rnacentral:rRNA from 1 species
CAGUGGCGAACGGGUGAGUAACACGUGGGCAAUCUGCCCUGCACUCUGGGACAAGCCCUGGAAACGGGGUCUAAUACCGGAUACGACCUUCCCCUGCAUGGGGGUUGGUGGAAAGCUCCGGCGGUGCAGGAUGAGCCCGCGGCCUAUCAGCUUGUUGGUGGGGUAAUGGCCUACCAAGGCGACGACGGGUAGCCGGCCUGAGAGGGCGACCGGCCACACUGGGACUGAGACACGGCCCAGACUCCUACGGGAGGCAGCAGUGGGGAAUAUUGCACAAUGGGCGAAAGCCUGAUGCAGCGACGCCGCGUGAGGGAUGACGGCCUUCGGGUUGUAAACCUCUUUCAGCAGGGAAGAAGCGAAAGUGACGGUACCUGCAGAAGAAGCACCGGCUAACUACGUGCCAGCAGCCGCGGUAAUACGUAGGGUGCGAGCGUUGUCCGGAAUUAUUGGGCGUAAAGAGCUCGUAGGCGGCCUGUCACGUCGGUUGUGAAAGCCCGGGGCUUAACCCCGGGUCUGCAGUCGAUACGGGCAGGCUAGAGUUCGGUAGGGGAGAUCGGAA